rnacentral:rRNA from 1 species
GCAUACAAAGAGAAGCGACCUCGCGAGAGCAAGCGGACCUCAUAAAGUGCGUCGUAGUCCGGAUUGGAGUCUGCAACUCGACUCCAUGAAGUCGGAAUCGCUAGUAAUCGUGGAUCAGAAUGCCACGGUGAAUACGUUCCCGGGCCUUGUACACACCGCCCGUCACACCAUGGGAGUGGGUUGCAAAAGAAGUAGGUAGCUUAACCUUCGGGAGGGCGCUUACCACUUUGUGAUUCAUGACUGGGGUGAAGUCGUAACAAGGUAACCGUAGGGGAACCUGCGGUUGGAUCACCUCCUUA